rnacentral:rRNA from 1 species
ACGGCUCAGUAACACGUGGACAACCUACCCUCAGAUCUGGGAUAACUCCGGGAAACUGGAGAUAAUACCGGAUAAUCCGUGAACGCUGGAAUGCCUUGCGGUUGAAAGCUUUAGCGUCUGAGGAUGGGUCUGCGGCCGAUUAGGUAGUUGCUGGGGUAACGUCCCAACAAGCCGAUGAUCGGUACGGGUUGUGAGAGCAAGAGCCCGGAGAUGGAUUCUGAGACACGAAUCCAGGUCCUACGGGGCGCAGCAGGCGCGAAAACUUUACACUGCGCGAAAGCGCGAUAAGGGGACCUCGAGUGCGUACGCAAUGCGUGCGCUUUUCAAAUGCCUAAAAAGCAUCUGGAAUAAGGGCCGGGCAAGACCGGUGCCAGCCGCCGCGGUAACACCGGCGGCUCAAGUGGUGGCCGCUAUUAUUGGGCUUAAAGGGUCCGUAGCCGGACCAGUUAGUCCCUUGGGAAAUCUUACGGCUUAACCGUAAGGCUGCCAAUGGAUACUGCUGGUCUUGGGACCGGGAGAGGCAAGAGGUACCUCAGGGGUAGGAGUGAAAUCCUGUAAUCCUUGAGGGACCGCCAGUGGCGAAGGCGUCUUGCUAGAACGGGUCCGACGGUGAGGGACGAAAGCUAGGGGCACGAACCGGAUUAGAUACCCGGGUAGUCCUAGCCGUAAACGAUGCGAGCUAGGUGUCACGUGGAUUGCGAAUCCAUGUGGUGCCGUAGGGAAACCGUGAAGCUCGCCGCCUGGGAAGUACGGCCGCAAGGCUGAAACUUAAAGGAAUUGGCGGGGGAGCAC